rnacentral:ncRNA from 2 species
UAAUGCUGGCCAUGUGACGGUUCCCCCGCGUGCGGCGCACAAGGGAGAUCAAAAGGGAACACGGUGCGGCGUACCCAUCAGGGACCAAAACCGUGGCUGCCCCCGCAACUGUAGGCGGUGGGCGCCCUCUCAUGCCACUGGGCCCUAUGGGCUCGGGAAGGCGAGGGCGCUGCAUUCACCGCGAGCCAGGAGACCUGCCGGCACCGACCAACCGGG